rnacentral:lncRNA from 1 species
UUUUUUUUUAACAACAACUGCUAUGGUUUAUUGAUAAGGUGAAAAGUAAAAAAACAAUGAAAUAGACUUUUGGAGUUCGUAAACGUGGGAACAACGGAAUUAAUAAAGAUUUUUGACGUUGGAGAAAAGAAGUUUGUGCCUUCAAAUUAGUUGUUUUUACAAAAUAGAAAGUUGUUAUAAGUGAGUUAUUUUCAAAAAUGUUGCGUUCAAUGAUAAACUAUGGUUUUAGUUUUAUUAUUAUGGCAAACCAAUUAAGUUGCUUCUUUAUUGAUCGAUCUCUAUACGGUGAUUUUAUAAUUGGAAAUUCAACCAUCUGCUCUGGACCAAUGUUUUGUCUCUGUCCAAACAGCACAUUUCUCUCCUAUAACUACUCAUCGCUCCAUUGUGGAAACUCAUUAGAAGGUUGCAGCCUAAAAGUGGAAGGAAGCUCUACGGGAAUACACACAUUAUAUGGAAUGUCUUCCUACAAUCUAACAAUCAUUUCCAAUCAAAAUGAUUCGGUGUGCAAAACCGAACCAAUAGUCGAGCCUAUUUUUACGCAAGAUUAUCAAAACUCGAUGAAAUUUCUCCCAGACUUUAGCCCUUAUUUAAAACAAGGUUUUUUUGCUUCUAUCAUAAACACUACU